rnacentral:ncRNA from 30 species
UAAAUAGUGAGCGGCUUUGAAACGCGCCGAAUUGGUCACCUUCCCUUACGUUCGGGAUAAGGCGCGUGGAGCUAAGGGUGAAACCGGCACUGGGAUUU